GAUGAAGAACGUAGUGAAAUGCGAUACGUAGUGUGAAUUGCAGAAUUCAGUGAAUCAUCGAAUCUUUGAACACACAUUGCACCUCUCGGUAUUCCGGGAGGUAUGCCUGUUCGAGCGUCAUUUGUACCCUCAAGCUCUGCUUGGUGUUGGGUGUUUGUUCCGCCUCUGUGUGUGAACUCGCCUCAAAACAAUUGGCAGCCGGCGUACUUGUUUCGGAGCGCAGCACAUUUUGCGAUCCAGAUCAACGUACAGCGGCAUCCAAGAAGCCUUAUUUAACGCUCUUGACCUCGGAUCAGGUAGGGAUACCCGCUGAACUUAAGCAUAUCAAUAAGCGGAGGA
rnacentral:misc_RNA from 1 species